UACGGAAGGCAGCAGUGGGGAAUAUUGCACAAUGGGCGCAAGCCUGAUGCAGCCAUGCCGCGUGUAUGAAGAAGGCCUUCGGGUUGUAAAGUACUUUCAGCGGGGAGGAAGGCGAUGCGGUUAAUAACCGCGUCGAUUGACGUUACCCGCAGAAGAAGCACCGGCUAACUCCGUGCCAGCAGCCGCGGUAAUACGGAGGGUGCAAGCGUUAAUCGGAAUUACUGGGCGUAAAGCGCACGCAGGCGGUCUGUUAAGUCAGAUGUGAAAUCCCCGGGCUUAACCUGGGAACUGCAUUUUGAAACUGGCAGGCUUGAGUCUUGUAGAGGGGGUAGAAUUCCAGGUGUAGCGGUGAAAUGCGUAGAGAUCUGGAGGAAUCCGGUGGCGAAGGCGGCCCCUGGGACAAGACUGACGCUCAGGU
rnacentral:rRNA from 1 species